ensembl:misc_RNA 7SK 7SK RNA
GGAUGGGAGGGCGAUCUGGCUGCGACAUCUGUUACCCCAUUGAUCGCCAGGGUUGAUUCAGCUGAUCUGGCUGGCUAGGCGGGGGUCCCCUUCCUUCCUCACCACUCCACGUGUGUCCCUCCGGAAGCACGCUCAGUCGAAGAGGACAACUUUCCCCAAUACAGGAGGACCCUUCUUCGAUCAAGGGUAUACGAGUAGCUGCGCUCCCCUGCUAGAACCUCCAAACAAGCUCUCAAAUGUCAGACUAUAUUCAGUUGUCUAUUUACCAAUGGAAAGGUUGAUGAAGUCAAACGUUUUCAGGCCUCUU